rnacentral:rRNA from 1 species
UUUAAGUGAAGAGUUUGAUCCUGGCUCAGAGUGAACGCUGGCGGCAGGCCUAACACAUGCAAGUCGAACGGCAGCACAGAGGAGCUUGCUCCUUGGGUGGCGAGUGGCGGACGGGUGAGGAAUGCAUCGGAAUCUGCCCAAUCGUGGGGGAUAACCUCGGGAAACCGGGACUAAUACCGCAUACGACCUUCGGGUGAAAGCAGGGGAUCGCAAGACCUUGCGCGAUUGGAUGAGCCGAUGCCGGAUUAGCUAGUUGGUGGGGUAAAGGCCCACCAAGGCGACGAUCCGUAGCUGGUCUGAGAGGAUGAUCAGCCACACUGGAACUGAGACACGGUCCAGACUCCUACGGGAGGCAGC